UCGCAUCAUAAAUCCACGACAGAUUAUUCAUAAUUUAGUACAUGACUCUAUCAACUUAUCAUAUAAUUAUCCAAUAAUUUAGCAAGUUGUCUUAAACAGAAAAUAAGCAGGUCCAUAAUGUGGUCGGGCCCAAAUACUUGGAACAUAACCUCGGCCCGAAGUGGAGCCCAACUAUGUAAUGGGUCAAUUUUUCGUUUACAAAUAAGCCAUUGGUUUAUUGAAUCACCC
rnacentral:lncRNA from 1 species